AAGGCUCGCUUUCUACUUUUUCUGAAUUCAUAACUUAACUUUAUAUGGCUUGUUAUAAUAAAAAUCAAUUCGGUAUGGUAAACAUUUAUGACAAAAUAAACAAAUUUGUUUCCCUUGGAGACUGCUGACUACUUAGUUUAUAAUAAAUACAUAUAUAUGUUUAUACAUCAAGCAAUUUACAUCCGCACAACUUAUUUCGGAAAUUAAUCUUGUUUGAACUUCAUAAGAAAAAAUUCACCACAUGAGGUGAAAAGCAUUUUGCUGUAAAAUUAAACGAAGCAAAAUAAAGAAAUCGAUUGCCAAGAAGAGCUUACAACAUGUAGUUUUAUUUCACUAUUUUCAUUGCUUCUAUACUAUCUUAGAAAUCUAUCUUAUCUAAAUAAAUGUGUAUGUGUCAUGCGAUAUCGGUUAUUUUUAAAUGUAAAAAUCAAUGCAUGUGCAUGUUUGUUAAGAUGCAAGUUCUUAAACUAGCUAAAUAAAUAUGUUUGUAUUGUUAAA